UUUCUAGACUUUUUUAUAAGUGACAUUCUGACUGUUGUAAGAUGGCAACUCAUUGUGGUAUUGAUUUGCAUUUCUGUGAUGAUUAAUGAUAUUGAGCAUUU